UAGAGAACAAAGCGGCCAGGGCUGUGCUGACUUGAGGUGAGUCGGAUGUUUGCUUCCUGCUCCGUGUUACAUCAGUUACAGGACAGACUGGAACCUACGUGAUUGCUCAAACCUCUUGUCAUUAUUGUGGGAUGACACUAUUUUGUCAUAGGCUUGCUCCCCCUCUGAUACAAUUCUGAAAUAUAUAUAAAAAUCUGAAGUAAAGCAAAUACCAGGUGGAGGUCAUCUCCUUCAAGCCAGUGAGUCCAGCCCCUGUUCUUCUUCUCACCAAUCUGGACACAGACAAGUUUGUCGUUGUCCCAGGUAACUAAGCUCUGUUGAAGAAGAAACAGUGUUCCUAUACGUUAUCUCAGUUCUGAAGUACACCUAGUAGUUAAUAUCCUUUCUGAUAAAAAAAGAGGACUAAAUACUAUUGUACAGGAAAAUGAAAAUAACUCAGGUUCCUGCCUCUGUAUCACACUAGAAAUAGUAUUCUUGAUAACUUCAGCCAAAGUAGCAAGAUUGAUCAUGGCAUCUUAAUUCUCUAAGAACUUCUUGAUUAUUAUUAUUUUUUAAUAGUCAGUCUUACCUUGCAUUUCCUGUUAUCCAGGCCUUUAUUGUCUUCUUCAAACUCUUCUCCAAUUUUGAAUUGGAGCAUGUAGUCUCUGAAUGUGCUUGUGGUAUGGAUAGAUAACAUGUCCCCAUCCUGUUU